rnacentral:lncRNA from 1 species
AAACAAAAUAAAUCCCUUGCAAAUACGAAAAGUCAGACUGCCUGCAAUCAAAACUAAUGCGCUGGCAAAUUGCACCUUCAUAGGAAGCAGAGUCAUAGAGCUGCCACAGUGAGGGAGGCAGCUCAUCAUUACCAUACCAUACCCUUGCAACUUGCAAAUCCGUUUUGUCUGCUGAUUAAACAGUUUUGAAUAUGUUAGAAGAGUUUGAGGAUAUUUUGGACCAUGUGGAAGAAGAAAAUCGUCUUCGAGUUCCAAAAAGAUAUAUACGGGAUGCAGGAAAUCCAAUAGAAAUGUUUAGCGAGGGGGGAUUUAUGCCGAUAUAGGUUUAACAAGGCUACAAUUACAGAAACUAUUUUACCUCUUAUAAAUUGAAGACUUGCAAAAACCUACCAAUCGUGGUUUACCCAUUCUCCCCGUUAUUCAAUUACUAAUUUGUUUACGGUUUUAUACGACUUGUAGUUUUCAGAUAUUAAAUGGAGACAUGCUUGGUAUUAGCCAACCUACAAUAAGCCAGAUUAUCAAGAGGGUGUCCAUUUUAAUAGCAGAACAUUUGGGUGAAUUUGUAUGAUGCAACCAUAAAUGGUUGAACAGCAUUAUUAUUCCAAUGAUACUGCCUUCAGCUUGUGCAGAUGAUAACAACAAAUGGGAUACAUAUAUUAAGAAUAUAGAAAGAGCUAUAAAUACAUCUGUGAAUAAAUCCACUGGCGAAAAAAACUCCUGAAUUAUUAUAUGGAUAUAUUCCGAAGAUUGAAGAUGGAUAAGUGAGAUUAUUGACGGUAGAGAAUGAAAAGUAUUCAAUUACCUGAAAAAUUGAGAAAAGAGGUCAAAGAACAUAUAGAAAUGGAACAAAGGAAGUAUAAAAAAAUUAUGAUAAACAUAUAGAUUUAAAGGUAUCACAAAGAUAGGAGACAUGGUCUAUAUGAAAAGUGCUACUAAAUAUAAGGGACUAUUUACAGUGACACAAGUUCUACCCCAUGACACAGAAAAACACAUAAACAGAAGUAUUUAGAAGAAUAUGUUUAAUGUUUAAUGAAUACUACUUUUGGUUUAUUUAGUUUUGAAUAGUUUCAUAAAUUUUUAAAAUCUUUAAAUAUCAUAAAUUUAGAAUGAAUAUUUUUUUUAUUGUUGUAGGUAAUUUUUAAGUUAGUUUUGUUAAUUAAGUCUUGGAGACUAAGACAUAGUCAGGUUGGACGAGUGUCAGAGAAUAAAUUAAAUUUAUAAGUAAAGGCAAAAAUUGUCAGUCACUGAUUUACGUAGCAGACUAGAAAAAAAAGAAUAGAGAAGAAUGUCAUCUAGACGAGAAGAAAUAAGGAAGCAGUAAAAACGCAAUAAUCAUAGAAUGUGUAUUGUGAAAUAUUAUUCUAAAUAAAACUAUAAAACAUGGAGUAUCAACUUUAUAUAGAGUGGUCAACUCAAUAAGAAUACAGAAUUUACACCAAGGAAUAAAAUCUUGAAAAUUAUAGUUUUAAUGUAUUAGUGGGAAAAUUCUGUGUGACCAGUUAAAACAAGCACUUAACUGUCUGGUCAUAGUGAGCGUAAAACUACUAAGAAAUCAUAUGUUAUUUAAGUAUAGAAAAACAGUAUUUUUAUGAUAACUAAUAAUAGACUAUAAGAAAUUACUUAAAAUAUGUUACAUGUAAAUAUAUAAACACUAACUUAACACUAAUAGAAAAGUAAAUAAAAUUAUUAUAUAGGUACUAGUUACCUUGGAACAUUACUUAACAUAUUACAUAAUUACUAGAUAUACAUAUAUUAAUACAAUAAAUACAUUAAUUUGCAAAAUGUUGAAUAAGAUUUCUUCAAAAAUCUAACCCUCUUCCUUUUUAUUUAUAAUUGGAAUGUGUAAAUUAGCAUCUUCAAAAUUAUCUAAAUUUUCCCUUAAACCAAUAUUAUGAAGAACAGCUGUUGCACAAAUAA